CACGUAGGUGGCGAGCGUUGUCCGGAUUUACUGGGCGUAAAGGGAGCGUAGGCGGACUUUUAAGUGAGAUGUGAAAUACUCGGGCUCAACUUGAGUGCUGCAUUUCAAACUGGAAGUCUAGAGUGCAGGAGAGGAGAAUGGAAUUCCUAGUGUAGCGGUGAAAUGCGUAGAGAUUAGGAAGAACACCAGUGGCGAAGGCGAUUCUCUGGACUGUAACUGACGCUGUGGCUCGAAAGCGUGGGGAGCAAACAGG
rnacentral:rRNA from 1 species